GCCAGGCGUGGUAGCUCACGCCUGUAAUCCCAGCAGCUGGGGAGGCUGAGGCUGGAGGAUCACAGGUUCAAGGCCAGCCUCAGCAACUUAGUGAGACUGUAAGCAACCUAGAGAGACCCUGUCUCUU
rnacentral:sRNA from 1 species